rnacentral:rRNA from 1 species
GACGAACGCUGGCGGCGUGCUUAAUACAUGCAAGUCGAACGGAAAGGCCCUGCUUUUGUGGGGUGCUCGAGUGGCGAACGGGUGAGUAACACGUGAGUAACCUGCCCUUGACUUUGGGAUAACAUCAGGAAACUGGGGCUAAUACCGGAUAGGAGCUCCUGCUGCAUGGUGGGGGUUGGAAAGUUUCGGCGGUUGGGGAUGGACUCGCGGCUUAUCAGCUUGUUGGUGGGGUAGUGGCUUACCAAGGCUUUGACGGGUAGCCGGCCUGAGAGGGUGACCGGCCACAUUGGGACUGAGAGACGGCCCAGACUCCUACGGGAGGCAGCAGUGGGGAAUAUUGCACAAUGGGCGGAAGCCUGAUGCAGCAACGCCGCGUGCGGGAUGACGGCCUUCGGGUUGUAAACCGCUUUCGCCUGUGACGAAGCGUGAGUGACGGUAAUGGGUAAAGAAGCACCGGCUAACUACGUG